AACGAAGACUCAAGAAACUCUUUUGCUCCCAUUUCCCACGGAUCAAUGCAAAUCAGAAAUUUGCACCUCACUUUUCUCUCUUUUGUCUCAAGGAAAGUGCUAGGAAGCUCCCUUGAGUCUUUCUCUUGAGUCCAAGGGUUCACACACCAAAAGAAAGAAAAUUCUCUCAACUCUUCUCUCCCUUUCAUUCCCACGGGUCCUAAACCAAAAGAAAGAAAAUUCUCUCAAGCUCUCCACCUCUCAUAAUUUUGGGUCCAGCCACUAGGAAAUGGGGAAAUUCUUCCAUGCAAGAGUGAUUCUAUUUCUCCUUGGAAUCAGAAAUUUGGUGUUACCAGUAUCCAAGUCUAAGCUCCUUCGACUUUAGGCUCUUGGUUCCUCUGCUUUCAGGUAAGGGAUAAGUUAUAUGGGCAUUUGUUAGCAGGUUUUAUUUUGGAGCAGAGGGAGCCUUAGUCGAGUUUUGGAAGGAGCUGGUUUAGUUUUAUAUGUAUAGAUCCUAAAUUAGCAUUCUGACGUUUAGCUUUAUAGUUAUUGUGUAUUUUAGGAUCAAAUGAAAGUUGUGUAUACCAUAAAGUAUCAAGCGAUGUAUUAUGUAAAAGUGUAGAAAUUAAAUGAUUGGUGGAUUAUGUUA